rnacentral:lncRNA from 1 species
AUCCUUCACCUGUUGCCUGGCUAGAGUUGUCUGGCUCCACUUUGAGCUCUUGCAGAACCAGCCCUUUUUCGUGUGGUCCAGGAAAGUCCAUGCCUGGCACCACCUCCUCCUCUAGUGACUCCACGUAGAAGAGAGUCCUGGCUGGCUGCUGAGUGCCCUGCCCAGGAGCCCCUUGCUGCAGCCUCGUGGCAACUGGAAGCAGGGUGCCAUUCAGCGGAUUGAAGGAAGAGGAGGAAGAGGACGGGGAGGACGAUGAAGAGGAAGAGGAGGAAGGCUUCUUCCAGAAAGUGCUCACACCGCUUCUCUCUUGGCUUUUGAGCAGGCGACUCUGGCUGGGUCCCCAGUGCUCAAAGCUGCCACUGCCGUCCUGUUGCAGGCAGCCUCCCCCCGCCGGGCCGCCGGUGGAAGGAGACGGGUGGCUGAAGAGUUUCCAGCGGAGUCGCAGAAUGUGCUUCACAUCGAAGUCUUUUCGCCCAGAGCCUGACAUGCUUUACGCACAGAAGGCAAAAGGCUGGCAGCUCACGCAGGAUUCUGGAGGCUGGGAAGUUCAAGACCAAUGCACGAGAAUUUGGUCUAAAGAGAAUCUUCUUGCUCUGAACACACAUAGUAGAAGGCAGAAGGGCAAGAGAGAGAACAAAGUCUGUGUCUCCACAUGGCAGAAGAGCAGAGGAGACAGAACCUACUCCUCUAUGGCAACCACCCCAUCAAUGACAAAAAUCCUAGAAGGAUGUAUGUAUAGGAAGUUGAAGUGUUGAGAAGAGAAUGGCUCAGAGUCAAGCGGGAACAAGAUUCAAACUUCAGAGAGAGAGGGAAGAAAAACAUUUAAAUAUAUCUGGCAUAAUCCAAGACUAUUUACGACAAGUGUUCUGUGUUUCUAAUAAUAAAACAGACUUCACCUCGGAGUACCUGCAGAACUGGGACCCCAAUGACCAGGGAGAAUGAAGAACAACUUGUUGAAGAUUGCCUUUUCUGACUCCCAGCUUCCACGGAGAGAUUAACUCUGUUGGCUGAAGCCCUAUUCCCAAUUCCUUGGCUAGACCCUGGGUCCUUCAUGUUAGAAAACCUGGCUUUACUACUACUACUACUACUACUACUACUACUACUGCUGCUGCUGCUGCUGCUGCUGCUGCUGCUGCUGCUGCUGCUGCAUUUUUUAAAAAUAUAUUAUCUUAUUUUACUAUUUGAUGUUAUAAUUGUUAUAUAUUUUUCCACACUUCCUCAUACUGCUUAUCUCUUACUUAAGAAUUUAUGAAUAAAGAAUUGAUUUUUCAAUACAUCCUUCCAAAAAUUAUCUGAUGUUGAGUUAGUUGCUCUCUCUUGUGCAUUCUCAGUCCUCACAAGCCUUUCUCAAACACAAUGUUUAUCAAAGAAAAUUGUAGCAACCAAUAUACUUAGUGGAAUUUCUCACAGAGUUUGAGUGUAGGAAACAGUAUUCACUGUAUAUUAGUCAUUUUGCUCCCAAUAGAAGGUGC